rnacentral:rRNA from 1 species
GACGAACGCUGGCGGCGUGCCUAAUACAUGCAAGUCGAGCGGAUCGGCGGUUGGGUGAGAAAUGCGUGGGUAACCUGCCCUUCAGCCUGGGAUACCAUUUGGAAACAGAUACUAAUACCGGAUACUAAAGGAUGGACCGGCGUUGCAUUAGCUAGUUGGUAAGGUAACGGCUUACCAAGGGGAUGAUGCAUAGCUGGUGUGAGAGACUGAUCGGCCACAUUGGGACUGAGACACGGCCCAAACUCCUACGGGAGGCAGCAGUAGGGAAUCUUCCACAAUGGACGCAAGUCUGAUGGAGCAACGCCGCGUGUGUGAAGAAGGUUUUCGGAUCGUAAAGCUCUGUUGUUGGUGAAGCGGUAAUCAACCAGAAAGUCACGGCUAACUACGUGCCAGCCGCCGCGGUAAUAC